AGGAGCUGCCCGGCGGGACAUAACAAUUCGGGGGUCGGGGAAGGACCCUGAGACCAGCAGGCAGGGUCCAUCACUCUGGCUGAUGAAACACUGGGGUGAAUAAUGAGAACCCCGAGGGGGUCAUGCAAGGCCACCUAAGGAACCAUUACAGAAUUCCUGGCAGUUUAUUUCCUGUCAUGGAUGUUUGCACAGACGGCUCUGGUACAACACCAUCAGGGUGUCAGAUAGUGGGAGUCACACAGGAUGAAGCCUCUUUAGAUCGGCGCCCCUCGCUUAGUCAUACGCUGUCAAGUUUCCUCCGUGUGUUUCCAUGGCUUGUUAGCUCGUUUCUUUUCAUGGCCGAAUACUGUUCCACCUCCUGGAUGGACCAAGUUUGUUUAUCCAGCACCUACUGAAGGACAUCUUCGAUGCCUCCAAGUUUUGGCGAUUGUGAAUAAAACCGCUAUACACAUCUGUGGGCAGGGUUUUGUACCAACACAGCUUUCAACUCAUUUGAGUAAACGUCAAGGGGCACGGUGGCCGGGUCGUGUGGCGAGGGUACGUUUAGUCCUGUAGGAACCCACCAGACCGUCCUCCCGAGUGGCUGCCCCCGUCUGUGUGCCCGCCUGCCGUGCGUGAGAGACGCUGUGGCUCAAGGUCCUCGCCAGCAUGUGCUGGUGUCUGGGGCCUGGGUUUGGGCCCUUCUAACAGGCGAGCAGUGUUGUCUCCUUGUCUGAAUUUGCACU